AUACGUAGGUGGCAAGCGUUGUCCGGAUUUACUGGGUGUAAAGGGCGUGUAGGCGGAGAUGCUAGUCAGGAGUGAAAUCUAGGGGCUCAACCCCUAAACUGCUUUUGAAACUGUAUCCCUUGAGUAUCGGAGAGGCAGGCGGAAUUUCUAGUGUAGCGGUGAAAUGCGUAGAUAUUAGGAGGAACACCAGAGGCGAAGGAGGCUUACUGGACUGUAACUGACGUUGAGGCUCGAAGGCGUGGGGAGCAAACAGGAUGAGAUACCCUGGUAGUCCACGCUGUAAACGAUGAUUACUAGGUGUGGGGGGACUGACCCCUUCCGUGCCGCAGUUAACACAAUAAGCAUUCCGCCUGGGGAGUACGGCCGCAAGGUUGAAACUCAAAUGAAUUGACGGGG
rnacentral:rRNA from 1 species